rnacentral:rRNA from 1 species
GAUGAACGCUGGCGGCGUGCCUAAUACAUGCAAGUCGAGCGAACAGACGAGGAGCUUGCUCCUCUGACGUUAGCGGCGGACGGGUGAGUAACACGUGGAUAACCUACCUAUAAGACUGGGAUAACUUCGGGAAACCGGAGCUAAUACCGGAUAAUAUAUUGAACCGCAUGGUUCAGUAGUGAAAGACGGUUUUGCUGUCACUUAUAGAUGGAUCCGCGCCGCAUUAGCUAGUUGGUAAGGUAACGGCUUACCAAGGCAACGAUGCGUAGCCGACCUGAGAGGGUGAUCGGCCACACUGGAACUGAGACACGGUCCAGACUCCUACGGGAGGCAGCAGUAGGGAAUCUUCCGCAAUGGGCGAAAGCUUGACGGAGCAACGCCGCGUGAGUGAUGAAGGUCUUCGGAUCGUAAAACUCUGUUAUUAGGGAAGAACAAAUGUGUAAGUAACUAUGCACGUCUUGACGGUACCUAAUCAGAAAGCCACGGCUAACUUCGUG